rnacentral:lncRNA from 1 species
UUCACUGGAUCUUGUUGUUUGGGCACCUGAGACAAGCUGGCAGUCACUAAAUCUCAGCGAUCACUCAAUGUGUGCCAGGCAUUCGCACACAAUAUCACUAACACCCAUGACAGUCCUUCAAGAGAGGUUCUGCUGUCUGAGAGAUUAUGUGACACGCCUAAGGUCACAGGAUCAGCAAAUACUAGGGCUGAGAUUUAAACCCAGAACUGUCUACUGCCAAAGCUUUUGCGCUCUCCCUCGUGCCACGUUGCUUCUCAUUUUGGGCUUGGUCUCCACUUCCCAGUCCUUGAAGGAGUUCUCCAGGUCUGCCCCAUUAGCACUGCAUCUCAGAAGGAAGCUGCAGCUGCGCCGCCAAUCUCCCGGUGGUAGGUGCUUAAUAAACAUUAUGAAGUGCAUGAACAAAUGAAUAGCCCCUGAUGGACAGACAUGCUUGAGAAACACUAUUUUUCACAUUCCUAUCUACACUCAAGAUUUUACCUAUGAUAGCAGGCUGAAGAUUCCCAGGAUCUUACAUCCUAGCAGGCAAUGCCUCUGCAUCCUCAUCAGCGAAACCGGAUUGAUCUUGCCUGCUUCCCUGGCUUUGAUGGAUGCAACAGAAGAAUAUAUGCAGAAGUCCCUAAUGCAGUGCCUGAUGCAUGAUAAAUGCUCAAAUAUAACAGACAGAAAAUCUGUGUAUGUUGUAUAAGCCCUGCAGUGUGUGGUACUUUGCUUCAACAGCCAAAGCAAAUGAAUACAGCCUCCAUGGUAGGCAAUGGGACAAGGAUUCAGCAUUCAGGAUCCUACCUGUGUCUUCUUCAGGAGCCCUAACAGUUCAGCUGAGCUGAAAGGAUGAGGAGGAAGCCCUUGGCGAUGGAACUUCUAGACAAGCCAAGGCCUGCCUGGCAGAGCUGGGAGCAGAUUGAGGAAGACACCACUGCCCCUCCACCCACCCCGCCGCCGCCUUCAUGUUGCCUUGAUCUUCUAUCCUCAGCUGACAUUUUUGUCGCUCAUCUCUGAUUGAAGAAACCUCAGUUUCUUAUUUGAUCUUUCCUGGACAACCGUUUAAUAGGCAGCAAGAAAAAGAGAUGAGAGAAAGUGAUUUUUCAUCCCUGACUUGACAUGAUAUUUUCCUUUUAACAAUUUAUCCAUACCUCUCCUCUCAGUUUCUCUCCUUUCAUAUACUCACAUACUAUCUGCCUCUCUGCAUAGCAAAGCAACCUUUUGAGCAGUUCUCUAAGAAGAUUCUAAAAAGCAAGGAAAAAGCAGGAUCACAAUAGCUCCUUCCCCAGUUCAAUUCAGCAAGCUUUUCUGAGCACCAGUCCAGAUGCAAGGCACAAUGAGAGGCAAGAUGAAGAAUGGGGGUUACUCUAUCCUCAUCGGACCAAUUUAGAAUCCAGUACAUGCACAUACAGGAAAAAUCCAAUGUGUUCAUCAUCUGUGUGUUCCAUAAUCAUUUACUGAGCACCUUUUAUCAAAAAGAGAAACCAUUUUUAAAGUAAACUGGAUUCUCUAUUAUAACAACAGUGAAGUUUGGCAAAAUGUUUUCCUCAUGUGAAGGCUUGAAUUUAAAGAAUUUUAAUUUAUGUUCAUUAUGAUUCAAUCCAACAUUUGUCUUUUUGUAUGUAUUAGAUCUUGCGAGGGACACAAAGAUAAUCAAGUUGUGGAUCUAGGUCUUAAGACGUAUAAAAUUGAGUGGGUCUAUGUCUUCCAAUACACAAAGUCAAGUGGAGAGACAUAAAUAACACUAACUUCAGUGCAAUGUAUACUAAAGGAUACGGAAUGACUUAUUCAGCAGCUACUAUGUGCCUGGUGCUUUACCCAUAUGAUUAAUAAAGCAUCUUUUGGUGAUAUUUACUGUUCAUGUAAUCUAUGGUCUAAGCCUGGUGACAUGGUCUUGAGAGGGAUACAAACAUGUAAUUACAAUGUAACAGGAAGUAGUGACAGGGAAAAUAAGAGAGAAUAGCCGGGACAUCUAAUCUGAUUUGGCAAAUCAAAGAAGGCUUCCAGGAAGAAGUGACUUCUGAGCUGAGUCCUGAAGAAUGAGUCAUCCAAAUAAAUCAGAGGAGGAGAUUGUUUUUGGCAGCAAAAAUAACAUGCACAAAGUCCCAAAGGCAGCGGGGAGACUUAUGUUCCUCAUCCAAUAAGAGAGGAAGCUGAGGUUCCAAUGAGUUAUUUAACUUACCAAAGAUCACACAGCUGGUGAUUGACCGAAGUUGGAUUUGGAUCUGGCGUGAGUAUCUUCCACCUAUAAAUGUUAAUAACAGAGGAAGAGAGAUAGAUUUUGAUUGAUGACAAUAGGGAAGCCUUUGUUAAAUUGGGUUUUGAAGAACGAAGUAAAAAUGGAAAGGGAAGAAUUGACAGAAACCAAGAGAGUGUUGAGGGGCAGCAAAUCCCAGUUUGACUGGAAUAUAGAGUGAUGUCAGGGUUGGAAGGAGGUGCUUUGAAAAAUUAAGUUGGAAAGAUGGAAAUGUUUUAGAUGGAAAGACCCAUCAAUCAAGUAAAAGAUACUUCAUUCCCACCGCAGGAUUAAGUCAAUAAGGCACUGGACACUUUAAGUGUCAGAGGAAAAGAGAAGACAAAAUACUGAACACUGCAGUAUAGCGACAGAGGAGCCCUGUAAUGACAGGCACUCCUCUGACCUGAGGUGAAUGAACACAGAAUCUUCAAUGUGUCCAAGGGAAGGGGACCCAGAGCUACUGGUAGACUAUCACUCCCAGAAUGCCUUUCAGUGAUCCACUUUCUUAGCCCACACUUCCUUCUAUUCUUCUUCCUUUUUUUUCUUUGUUCCUUCUUUCCUCCCUUACUAUCAAAAUCAUAUUUGAAUCUAUUGUUUCUUGGGAUAGAUAUGUCUGCUUGAAUAACAAAGAGGCUUUAUAACAAAGUCACCAAGAGAACAAAUUGCUUCAAAACCAGGUUUGAUGGACUAUCUUAAUGUAUGUUGGACUUCUCAUGAUUGUGUCUGGCUACCAAGCAAAUAAUAGUAAAAAAAUUAAAACUCAUUCCUCCCAAUUCAUGUUUUAAGAGCAAAUUAAUAAUGAAAGAUCUCUUUACAUCACAAAAAAGAAAGGAUUUUUUAUUUACUGUUGUUUGUUGUUUAAGUCCAGCAAAACUGAAGUUCAUGUGAAAGAAUAGGUGCAAAUGGUCCAAAAUCUCCUAAAGGAAGGCAAGGGCCUGAGAGGUCAAUGGCUGAGCAGCACUUGCUAGCAAUUACCAAUCAAUCCUCUUCAGGGCAGGAUAAUGGAAACCUACAUGGUAUAGCCUUUACAACCAGCAGA